UCCAUUGUGGUGUAGUGGUUUGAGCCUUGGACUAUGAAUCUGGAGACCAGGGUUCAAAUCCCUGCUUAGCUA